rnacentral:rRNA from 1 species
GACGAACGCUGGCGGCGUGCUUAACACAUGCAAGUCGAACGGAAAGGCCCUGCUCUUGUGGGGUGCUCGAGUGGCGAACGGGUGAGUAACACGUGAGUAACCUGCCCUUGACUUUGGGAUAACUUCAGGAAACUGGGGCUAAUACCGGAUAGGAGCUCCUGCUGCAUGGUGGGGGUUGGAAAGUUUCGGCGGUUGGGGAUGGACUCGCGGCUUAUCAGCUUGUUGGUGGGGUAGUGGCUUACCAAGGCUUUGACGGGUAGCCGGCCUGAGAGGGUGACCGGCCACAUUGGGACUGAGAUACGGCCCAGACGCCAACGGGAGGCAGCAGUGGGGAAUAUUGCACAAUGGGCGGAAGCCGGGUGCAGCAACGCCGCGUGCGGGAUGACGGCCUUCGGGGUGUAAACCGCUUUCGCCUGUGACGAAGCGUGAGUGACGGUAAUGGGUAAAGAAGCACCGGCUAACUACGUG